rnacentral:rRNA from 1 species
GAUGAACGCUGGCGGCGUGCCUAAUACAUGCAAGUCGAGCGAACGGACGAGAAGCUUGCUCCUCUGAUGUUAGCGGCGGACGGGCGAGUAACACGUGGAUAACCUACCUAUAGGACUGGGAUAAUUUCGGGAAACCGGAUCUAAUACCGGAUAAUAUUUUGAACCGCAUGGUUCAAAAGUGAAAGACGGUCUUGCUGUCACUUAUAGAUGAAUCCGCGCUGCAUUAGCUAGUUGGUAAGGUAACGGCUUACCAAGGCAACGAUGCAUAGCCGACCUGAGAGGGUGAUCGGCCACACUGGAACUGAGACACGGUCCAGACUCCUACGGGAGGCAGCAGUGGGGAAUCUUCCGCAAUGGGCGAAAGCCUGACGGAGCAACACCGCGUGAGUGAUGAAGGUCUUCGGAUCGUAAAGCUCUGUUGUUAGGGAAGAACAUAUGUGUAAGUAACUGUGCACAUCUUGACGGUACCUAAACAGAAAGCCACGGCUAACUACGUG